CUUGACAUCCCGGAGACCCUUAGGAAACUAGGGGUGCUUCCAUCUGGAAGAAUCUGGAGACAGGUGCUGCAUGGCUGUCGUCAGCUCGUGUCGUGAGAUGUUGGGUUAAGUACCCGCAACGAGCGCAACCCUUGCCUUUAGUUGCCAGCAGUUCGGCUGGGCACUCUAAAGGGACUGCCGGUGUUAAACCGGAAGGAAGGUGGGGAGUGACGUCAAGUCCUCAUGGCCUUUAUGACCAGGGCUACACACGUACUACAAUGGCCGAUACAAAGGGCAGCGACACUGCGAGGUGAAGCCAAUCCCGUAAAAUCGGUCUCAGUCCGGAUUGGAGUCUGCAACUCGACUCCAUGAAGUUGGAAUCGCUAGUAAUCGUGGAUCAGCAUGCCACGGUGAAUACGUUCCCGGGCCUU
rnacentral:rRNA from 1 species